rnacentral:snoRNA from 1 species
GAAGCUAAUGUUAGUUAGUAUUACCCCAGUAUUAAGUUGCAUCCAAAAUUUUGGAUUUGCAAGGUGGUGAUAGACUCAUUGUAUCUGAUUC